UACAUAAAGAAGAGGAGCAUUACCUAGGUAGCUUAAUUUGUGGAGUCCAAACUCCCAGCCAACUAAGUGAGGGAGAGUAAUGCCGAGACGAACUUUAUUGGGAAAACUUCGUCGGUCGUUUAGGCUGAAUCCUAACGAUUGUCACUUAUUUUUUAAGUGAAGGGCUUCUAGCAAC
rnacentral:ncRNA from 1 species